UGAGGAUCUACUAGUCAUAUGGAUUCUUCAUUUAGAGGAAGUAAGUCGUAACAAGGUUUCCGUAGUGAACCUSCGGAAGGAUCAUUACCGAAUCGUCAAACACGGGUUGUUGCUGGCCUCCAAACGGGGGCACGUGCACGCUCUGUUUACGCAUCCACUCACACCUGUGCACCCUCUGUAGUCCUAUGGUUCGGUAGACCCCGUCUUCCUUCCUGUAGCUCUACGUCUUUACACACACACUGUAGCGAUGUCUCAUGGAAUGUUUUUAUGCGUUUAACGCGAUAACAAUUACAACUUUCAGCAACGGAUCUCUUGGCUCUCGCAUCGAUGAAGAACGCAGCGAAAUGCGAUAAGUAAUGUGAAUUGCAGAAUUCAGUGAAUCAUCGAAUCUUUGAACGCACCUUGCGCCCCCUUGGUUAUUCCUUGGAGCAUGCCUGUUUGAGUAUCAUGAACACCUCAACUCUCAUGGUCUUCCAUGAUGAGCUUGGACUUUGGGGGUUUGCUGGCCCUGCGGCGGCUCCUCUCAAAUGAAUCAGCUUGCCAGUGUUUGGUGGCAUCACGGGUGUGAUAACUAUCUACGCUCGCGGUCGUCUGCCAGGUACCCUCAGCGAUGAGGGUUCAUUGGAGCUCAUAACGUCUCUCUCGGCGAGGACAACUUUGAACGUUCGAUCUCAAAUCARGUGGAUUGCCGCUGACUUAGCAUAUCAAUAAGCGGAGAAUCGGAUCCCGGUACGAGCUCGAUUCACUGCGUGUGUGAUGGUGGCGACAACAAA
rnacentral:rRNA from 1 species